CCUACGGGAGGCAGCAGUGGGGGAUAUUGGACAAUGGGGGGAACCCUGAUCCAGCGACGCCGCGUGAGUGAAGAAGUAUUUCGGUAUGUAAAGCUCUGUCAGCAGGGAAGAAAGAAAUGACGGUACCUGACCAAGAAGCCCCGGCUAACUACGUGCCAGCAGCCGCGGUAAUACGUAGGGGGCAAGCGUUAUCCGGAAUUACUGGGUGUAAAGGGAGCGUAGACGGUUAAGUAAGUCUGGAGUGAAAGGCCGGGGCCCAACCCCGGGACUGCUCUGGAAACUAUUGAACUUGAGUGCAGGGGAGGUAAGCGGAAUUCGUAGUGUAGCGGUGAAAUGCGUAGAUAUUAGGAGGAACACCAGUGGCGAAGGCGGCUUACUGGACUGUAACUGACGUUGAGGCUCGAAAGCGUGGGGAGCAAACAGGAUUAGAUACCCCUGUAGUC
rnacentral:rRNA from 1 species